UGAGGUCACAUGGCCAGCCUUGCCUGGCAGCCUGGAUGAUCUGCUCUGAGUCACUCCUCUGUGCCUGCACUUCAGCUUCCUCCACAGUACAGGGACAAAAACAUGUGCCUUUCCACCCUGUUGUGAGCAAGCCAGAACAAGAGGAAAGACAGCUGACCGCUCGGGCUAUGUCUCCAAGUUUUACGUGUGCACUUGAGUAUGUAUAAGUGUGUGUAAACACCCAUGUCUCUAAGCUCCCCACUGGUGACUGAGUUCCCAGGCUGCUCCAGUGGGGCGCCAGUACCCUCUGCUCAGAGGCACAGCAGGUGCUGUAGUGGUUCAGGAGAGGUGGCCCCUGACCACAGGCAGGAAGGAUGUGAAGCAGUUUCAUUGUGGCCAGCCCUCAGCAGGGACUAUGGAGGAUCACUCCGCGGAAUCUGUCUAGCAAGACCAAGGCGCAUGUUAAUGGAACCUGGCCUCUAGCUGAAGGGAGAUGAGAAGAGGUUCUGAGAUCCAGGCUUAGUAUCCAGCCUGGUGCAAGUGAGCCCCAUGCCUUUCUGCUCCCGCCACUGGCCCCUUACAUUGUGGCUACAAACUCACUGUCAGCAUUCAGCAAUGGCUCUGCAUACAAUGGCUAGCGUUUUGAUGAUCCCCUGGGACACCCUGCCUUGAACUCAGCAGCUGGCCUGACUCACUGGCCCUGAGUGUAGCUGCCUGCUCCUGUGACUGGAUGGAGUGUGCUCUGCCUUGGCUCUCCACCACACCAUCCUAACUCUCUUUGAGAAUCCAGAGACUUGCCUUCCACCAUAUCCAAGACUUACCCCAGGACUACCUAUCCUAGCCUGUGCUAACCUGUUUGUCCUCUGACCCAGGGUCAAGGUUUCAGGUUUUCAUUCUGUCCUUGUAGCUCCUAAGUAGAGGUCCCAGCAAAGCUGGGGACACUUCUCAGAGGGAACUACUUCCUGGGUGACGCUGGGUCAUGCACAAGGAGAGACAGACACCAUGGGGACCUCCAGGCUGCAGAGGGCACGGGAAGGCCUAGAGAGGAGCUGGGGGCUGAAGCAAAUCCCUCCUUUUCUAAGUUCAGCCUUGAGAACUUAAGAAUAGAGUGGUUAUUUCUCUGGCUGCGGGACAGGAGCUCUCUGUCCCCACUGGGAGAAGCAGCAGGGCCCAGCAAGGGAGGUGGGCGGCAGCUGCUCUGUUUUGCUCCAUCUGCCUUUGUCUAUUCCAACAAGGAGGGUGUGUUUGUUUAAAGAUGUCUCUUUUGGCAGCAGAAGUCUGUCUCCAAGCAAAAACACAGGAGUGUGGGCAAGGAGGACGAAGUCUCUCCACCGGGAAAGUCUUUCCUCUUCCCAAAUGACCCGGAAGUCUGCCUUCACUGAGUGACUGAAACCCCGAGAGGGCAUACUAUGGUCCCCACACUUGGGUUCCCAGACCAGGGUCAGGGCCAGCUGGCUGCUGGAAUUCCACACCAAGGGAGUCCUGGUGUCUCCAUGCUAAUCAGGAACUCCAGGAUUUGGGUCUUUGUAUUCCGAAUCAAGUCACCACAAACACAGCAGCUAGCCAUCACAAAGAUUUGUUCUUGUCGAGUUCUACAAGUCAUGUCGGAAGACCAAGCCUGCAGACGGCUGGGCUGAGCUCCUUCCAUGGCUCUAGGGAAGGGUCUGUUCUGCCUCCUCAUUCAUUUUCUGGCAGCCCACGGUGGUCCUUGACUGGUAUCAGAAUCAUUGCUAUUUCGCCUCUACCUUCACCAGGCUUCUCUCUACGAAUCUGUUUACACAGUCACCCUCUUUCAAAGACAUCGGAUAGAGUAAGCUUAGUGGUCCCGGGCAGGGCUUG